rnacentral:lncRNA from 1 species
AAUGAUACCGCUGUUGGUGUCGGGAAAGACCCAUCUGUCAGUCUGGGGCUUGAUUGUGAUCCUCUUCACUCCAGGGAAGGUCUCAAGACCGAGCAUGUCGAUUUCAUUGUCGAAAUGACCAAUGUUGCAGACAAUGGCGUUGUUCUUCAUUUUCCUCAUGUGGUCAACCAUGAUGAUGUCCUUGUUACCGGUUGUGGUAACGAAGAUAUCAACAUCUGAAACGACAUCCUCAAGGGUAAGGACCUGAAGACCUUCCAUGGUAGCUUGGAGAGCACAGAUUGGAUCAAUCUCAGUCACGAUGACACGUGCACCAGCUUGCUUCAAGGCAGCAGCACAACCCUUACCGACAUCUCCGUAACCGGCAACAAGCGCUACCUUUCCGGCAAUCAUAACAUCAGUAGCCCUCAUG